CCUACGGGAGGCAGCAGUGGGGAAUAUUGGGCAAUGGAGGCAACUCUGACCCAGCAACGCCGCGUGAGUGAUGAAGGUCUUCGGAUUGUAAAGUUCUGUGAUGAGGGAUGAACACAAUGACUGUACCCCAGUAGCAAGCCACGGCUAACUACAUACCAACAGCCGCGGUAAUACGUAGGGGGCGAGCGUUAUCCGGAGUGACUGGGCGUAAAGGGUGCGUAGGUGGUAUGGUAAGUCGGCGGUGAAAUUCCGGGGCUCAACAUAGGCACUACCGCCAAAACUAGUAGACUAGAGUGUAGGAGGGGUAAGUGGAAUUCCUAGUGUAGAGGUGGAAUGCGUAGAUAUCAGGAGGAACAUCAGGGGCGAAGGCGACUAACUGGACCGUAACUGACGCUGAGGCACGAAAGCGUGGGGAGCAAACAGGAUUAGAUACCCUGGUAGUC
rnacentral:rRNA from 1 species